rnacentral:rRNA from 1 species
AGAGUUUGAUCCUGGCUCAGGACGAACGCUGGCGGCGUGCCUAAUACAUGCAAGUCGAACGCUUCUUUUUCCACCGGAGCUUGCUCCACCGGAAAAAGAGGAGUGGCGAACGGGUGAGUAACACGUGGGUAACCUGCCCAUCAGAAGGGGAUAACACUUGGAAACAGGUGCUAAUACCGUAUAACAAUCGAAACCGCAUGGUUUUGAUUUGAAAGGCGCUUUCGGGUGUCGCUGAUGGAUGGACCCGCGGUGCAUUAGCUAGUUGGUGAGGUAACGGCUCACCAAGGCCACGAUGCAUAGCCGACCUGAGAGGGUGAUCGGCCACAUUGGGACUGAGACACGGCCCAAACUCCUACGGGAGGCAGCAGUAGGGAAUCUUCGGCAAUGGACGAAAGUCUGACCGAGCAACGCCGCGUGAGUGAAGAAGGUUUUCGGAUCGUAAAACUCUGUUGUUAGAGAAGAACAAGGAUGAGAGUAACUGUUCAUCCCUUGACGGUAUCUAACCAGAAAGCCACGGCUAACUACGUGCCAGCAGCCGCGGUAAUACGUAGGUGGCAAGCGUUGUCCGGAUUUAUUGGGCGUAAAGCGAGCGCAGGCGGUUUCUUAAGUCUGAUGUGAAAGCCCCCGGCUCAACCGGGGAGGGUCAUUGGAAACUGGGAGACUUGAGUGCAGAAGAGGAGAGUGGAAUUCCAUGUGUAGCGGUGAAAUGCGUAGAUAUAUGGAGGAACACCAGUGGCGAAGGCGGCUCUCUGGUCUGUAACUGACGCUGAGGCUCGAAAGCGUGGGGAGCAAACAGGAUUAGAUACCCUGGUAGUCCACGCCGUAAACGAUGAGUGCUAAGUGUUGGAGGGUUUCCGCCCUUCAGUGCUGCAGCUAACGCAUUAAGCACUCCGCCUGGGGAGUACGACCGCAAGGUUGAAACUCAAAGGAAUUGACGGGGGCCCGCACAAGCGGUGGAGCAUGUGGUUUAAUUCGAAGCAACGCGAAGAACCUUACCAGGUCUUGACAUCCUUUGACCACUCUAGAGAUAGAGCUUCCCCUUCGGGGGCAAAGUGACAGGUGGUGCAUGGUUGUCGUCAGCUCGUGUCGUGAGAUGUUGGGUUAAGUCCCGCAACGAGCGCAACCCUUAUUGUUAGUUGCCAUCAUUCAGUUGGGCACUCUAGCAAGACUGCCGGUGACAAACCGGAGGAAGGUGGGGAUGACGUCAAAUCAUCAUGCCCCUUAUGACCUGGGCUACACACGUGCUACAAUGGGAAGUACAACGAGUCGCGAAGUCGCGAGGCUAAGCUAAUCUCUUAAAGCUUCUCUCAGUUCGGAUUGUAGGCUGCAACUCGCCUGCAUGAAGCCGGAAUCGCUAGUAAUCGCGGAUCAGCACGCCGCGGUGAAUACGUUCCCGGGCCUUGUACACACCGCCCGUCACACCACGAGAGUUUGUAACACCCGAAGUCGGUGAGGUAACCUUUUGGAGCCAGCCGCCUAAGGUGGGAUAGAUGAUUGGGGUGAAGUCGUAACAAGGUAGCCGUAUCGGAAGGUGCGGCUGGAUCACCU